rnacentral:rRNA from 1 species
GAUGAACGCUGGCGGCGUGCCUAAUACAUGCAAGUCGAGCGAACAGAUCAUGAGCUUGUUCCUUUGACGUUAGCGGCGGACGGGUGAGUAACACGUGGGUAACCUCCCUAUAAGACUGGAAUAACCCCGGGACACCGGGGCUAACGCCGGAUAACAUUUAGAACCGCAUGGUUCUAAAGUGAAAGAUGGUUUUGCUAUCACUUAUAGAUGGACCCGAGCCGUAUUAGCUAGUUGGUAAGGUAACGGCUUACCAAGGCAACGAUACGUAGACGACCUGAGAGGGUGAUAGGCAGCACGGGAUGUGGAACAGGGUCCAUAGUCCUACGGGAGGGAACAGUAGGGGAUCUACCGCAAUGGGCGAGAGCAUGACGGAGCAAAGCCACGUGAGAGGUGAAAGUCUUCGGAUCGUGAAGCUCUGUUAUUGGAGAAGAACAAAUGUGUAAGUAACUGAGCACGUCUUGACGGUACCGAAUCAGAAAGCCACGGCUAACUACGUG